ACUUGUUUAAUUUUCAUAGAUUUCUUCAACCUCAAUUCAAGAUUCUAAUGUCAAGCCUGCACAUGAGAUGCUGUAGCCGUCUACUCAAGCUGUUCAGUCACAGCCAAAGAGAUUACAUAUGUGAAUUUCCAGAAUGAGAGACCCAGAAAAUGCCAUGGUUUAGUUCUCCAACUCCAGAAAAAUUGUGGAAAGGUUACAAGAAGAACAGAAAUCAAGUGUGUACAUGAAAAAAUAUAGUUUUUUGCUUCAUGACAUCGUAAAUGUUAUACAUGUAAAAUAUCAUUUGUGAAGUUUCAUUUUUAGGUUUAUGUGGGAAUAACUUUGUCUUUAAAUUUGACAAGAAAGGUUGCUCUUGGCAAAGUUCUAUGUAAAUAAGUAAACGGUAUAACCACAGAAAAAAUUUAUAAGUUGUAUUUAUGUAAGAUGCUUCAAGUGCUUGUAGUUGUACAAAUAAU